UUGUCGGUUUAGUGAAACAUAACCCAAACUUUUAAGAAAUCCAAUCUUAUUCAUUUCUUCUUCCCCGUGAAAACCCAUUUCAUCCAAAACCCCAAUUCUCCUCUGCGUCGCUGUCGUUACUAAAGCUCGCCGGAGCUCCUCUCGUAUGCACUGUUGUUCGGCCGUUUUCUUCCCACCGAAGCUGCGUGUGGUGUUCCUUUUCUCUCUGUUUCUCGUUGCUCUCUGGUGGUUCGCGGUCGAUGUUGUCGCUCGCCGGUGAAAGCCAAUCGUCGCGGAGUUGUUGUUGCUGCUGCUGCCGUGGUUUUUCCCUCCCCUGUUCUGGUUCGCUGCUGCUCUCCCCGCCGUGUAUUGCUGGUGUUAUUGGUGGUGCUUCUCGACAGGGGUUAGGUGUUCUCUUUCUUUCUUCUGGUUAUUGUUGCUACUCUUUGUUGUUGCUGUUGUUGCAUCGUUGUUAUUGGGGUUUUUGUGGUGGUGUUGUUCUUGUUGUUCGUGGUUGUUGUUGUUGGUGGGUUUCGUUGCUCCUUUGUGCUAUUAUGUUGGUGCACUUCUUUCUUCUGCAAUUGCUGAUUUAAGAACUCUAUUAUGGGUCAGGUACAACUUGUUUCUAUUUUGUUUUAUCUCAUAUUACUUGCUAGCAAUUUGUGGUGAAGUGAAUUGUUUAGGAGUUUAAUUAUGGAGUAUAGUUUCAUUGAGAGGAGUUGUGGUGGUAGUGUUGUUGGGUGGUGGUUGUUCGGUUACUGUGAUUGAUAUUGUGCGGUUGGAGUUAAUAUAUUUGAAGAUAAGGUAGAAGUUAUAAAAUUAGUUAGUUUUUAUUUGCGGGAAUUAGUUUGAUUAACAUAGUGGUUGUAUUAAGAAAAGUUAAUUAGAUUAGUUAUUGAUUAUUGUUAUUUUUGUGAGGUAAAUUAUUUUGGAGUUCAAGUUAGAGUUGGCGAUCAAUUGCCCAUGAUUAUUCUUGGUGAUGAAUUACUAAGGAAUCAGUGAUGUGUAUAAGGUUUGAUGUUCAGAGCUCGGAAUUCAAAGUGGAGCAAGAUCAAGGUGUCAUAGUGGCUUAAGGAUUAAGCUUGUAUUUUAGAUAGUUGGUUUGAGAACGGUUAUUGAUAUUUUCGGUGUAUAAUAUUUGGGAAUAUUGGUUGAGAUAUUGGUGUAAUUAAGGAUAUUUUUCCGCUGCAAAGUUAAUUUACUUAAGAGUUAAUUGUUGUUUA